rnacentral:rRNA from 1 species
GACGAACCGAGCGAACGUUGUUCGGAAUCACUGGGCUUAAAGGGCGCGUAGGCGGGCUGCCAAGUCCGUGGUGAAAUCCCCCGGCUCAACCGGGGAAGGGCCUCGGAUACUGGCGGCCUCGAGGGGGGUAGGGGCGUGCGGAACUUCCGGUGGAGCGGUGAAAUGCGUAGAUAUCGGAAGGAACACCGGUGGCGAAAGCGGCGCGCUGGACCUCUUCUGACGCUGAGGCGCGAAAGCCAGGGGAGCGAACGGG